GCCCGCCUAGCUCAAUCGGAUAGAGCGUCAGACUCUUAUCCAUGAACCAGCGGGACAAUCUGAAGGCUGGGGUUUCGACCCCCCCGGUGGGCU